rnacentral:lncRNA from 1 species
AGACUUGACACAAUACAAUAACAUUUCAAACAACUCAAUCACACAAAAAUUUACAAUUUUCACCAUCAUCCUAUACAAUCAAAAGACAAAAUCGGUACUAUUUUAACAAACCAUUCACACGUCACAUAACCAUUGUUAAACAAACCUUUGGCAGAGGGCAGACAUAGAAAGGCCUUCCUGGAUUAUUGACAGUGUUGGCUUUUCUUACAACACAAAUUCUAGGACACCAACAUUGAAGCUCUCUCACAUCAUCAUUGUACAUAGAGCUUGAAGAUGAAGACCGACUGUUGUAGCUGUUUUUGCCCAUACGCCCACCACCCAUCAUUUAUGAACAUCAAAUCUUCAACGAUGAUCACUGAUUUUUGAAUUUCGAAUUGAAUCAAAAAAAUUAGGGUUUUAAGUUUUUUGAAUUGGGGAAGAACUUUGGCAUCAAUUCAUGGAAGAAAUUUUGGGGAUUUUGAACUCUAGGUGACAAAUUAUAACAUUAGGGUUAGAAAUUUAUAUAUUUGGGGAAGAAAAUGUCGUUCAUGAGAAAGAGGAGAAAGGGUAGUUGGGAAUUUUGCAAUUUUCUGAAAAUCAAUCAAUUUGUUCCUUGGCAAUUUUCUGAAAAUCGAUCAAUUUGGUCCUUGGCAAUUUUCUGUAAAUCAAUCAAUUUGGUCCCUGCUUGCGUGACAUCUGACGUGGUAAGCUUUGUAAGAGGUUAACGGUACACGUCACCUUCGUUAACAUACCAACUUGACAGAGGGACUGAUUUGAUGAACAUUUUGUAAAUUCGAGGACUAAAUAAAUAUUUCGCAAAAUUUAGGGACGAAUUUGGCUGAUUUUUGAAAAUUUAAGGACGAAUUUGAGGUAUUAGUCGUUAACUUUUCUUCAUAAUACUAAACCCCCCUCAUUUGGGGAACUAAAAAAUUGUAUUGGAGGAGGGUUUUUGGGGGUUUUGGAGGGUUUAUAUGAAUUUUUCAAAUUUAAUUUAUGUUGUUAUAUUGUUUUUAAAAUAAAAAAUAUAGUAAUCAUAUGCAUUAAUUUAUCAUUCUCUAAAAAAGUACACUUUCAAAAAAUUUAAAAGAUUUCUUCAUUUUCCCUCGUAUUUUCCACCCUUCAAAGCCUUUCAUUCACCUUCCCUCCAAACUCGCAAACAAAGCCUUGGUGUUUCACGGUACAACAACAUUUUUGAAAUGUUUUUGAGUUGUUGGUUGUGUUUCUUUCUCACCUUCAGUAUGGCUUUGAUAUUCGAAUAAGCUCAUAUCUGCAUCUACUGCUUCGUUUUCUUCCUCCUCUUC